rnacentral:rRNA from 2 species
CUGCGGAGGGAUCAUUACACAAUAUGAAAGCGGGUUGGGACCUCACCUCGGUGAGGGCUCCAGCUUGUCUGAAUUAUUCACCCAUGUCUUUUGCGCACUUCUUGUUUCCUGGGCGGGUUCGCCCGCCACCAGGACCAAACCAUAAACCUUUUUGUAAUUGCAAUCAGCGUCAGUAAACAAUGUAAUUAUUACAACUUUCAACAACGGAUCUCUUGGUUCUGGCAUCGAUGAAGAACGCAGCGAAAUGCGAUACGUAGUGUGAAUUGCAGAAUUCAGUGAAUCAUCGAAUCUUUGAACGCACAUUGCGCCCUUUGGUAUUCCAAAGGGCAUGCCUGUUCGAGCGUCAUUUGUACCCUCAAGCUUUGCUUGGUGUUGGGCGUCUUUGUCUCUCACGAGACUCGCCUUAAAAUGAUUGGCAGCCGACCUACUGGUUUCGGAGCGCAGCACAAUUCUUGCACUUUGAAUCAGCCUUGGUUGAGCAUCCAUCAAGACCACAUUUUUUUCAACUUUUGACCUCGGAUCAGGUAGGGAUACCCGCUGAACUUAAGCAUAUCA